AGCAUCCGUAGCCGGUUGCAUAAGUUUUCGGUUAAAUCUAUGCGCUCAACGUAUAGGCCGCCGAAAAUACUGUGCAGCUAGGGAGUGGGAGAGGUACACGGUACUCAGUAGGAAGGGGUAAAAUCCUUUGAUCUAUUGAUGACCACCUGUGGCGAAGGCGGUGUACCAGAACACGUUCGACGGUGAGGGAUGAAAGCUGGGGGAGCAAACCGGAUUAGAUACCCGGGUAGUCCCAGCUGUAAACGAUGCAGACUCGGUGAUGCAUUGGCUUGUGGCCAAUGCAGUGCCGCAGGGAAGCCGUUAAGUCUGCCGCCUGGGAAGUACGUACGCAAGUAUGAAACUUAAAGGAAUUGGCGGGGGAGCACAAG
rnacentral:rRNA from 2 species